AUGCGCAAGGGUCUAUCCUCCCUCAUCAUCCUAUCUGCUUGGUGGAUUUGGAAGCACCGCAACGCCUGCAUUUUUGAAGGAGCAACACCAUCGAUCAACUUCACCUCUGAGACCAUCAAUGACGAGGCGCGCCUAUGGGCCAAGGUGGGCGCCACCGGACUGCAACACAUCAUCCCCGGCGCUUAG
rnacentral:rRNA from 1 species